rnacentral:rRNA from 1 species
GAUGAACGCUAGCUACAGGCUUAACACAUGCAAGUCGAGGGGAAACGAUAUUGGAAGCUUGCUUCCGAUAGGCGUCGACCGGCGCACGGGUGAGUAACGCGUAUCCAACCUGCCCAUCACUUGGGGAUAACCUUGCGAAAGUAAGACUAAUACCCAAUGACGUCUCUAGAAGACAUCUAAAAGAGAUUAAAGAUUUAUCGGUGAUGGAUGGGGAUGCGUCUGAUUAGCUUGUUGGCGGGGUAACGGCCCACCAAGGCGACGAUGGGUAGGGGUUCUGAGAGGAAGGUCCCCCACAUUGGAACUGAGACACGGUCCAAACUCCUACGGGAGGCAGCAGUGAGGAAUAUUGGUCAAUGGGCGCGAGCCUGAACCAGCCAAGUAGCGUGGAGGACGACGGCCCUACGGGUUGUAAACUGCUUUUGUACUAGGGUAAACUCACCUACGUGUAGGUGACUGAAAGUAUAGUAUGAAUAAGGAUCGGCUAACUCCGUG